rnacentral:lncRNA from 1 species
GCGCAGAAGUCAUAGCUCGCGUGCUACGUCCCUGAGCCACUUUGUACACAACGCCCUACGCUCCUACAGAUGAACAUGGUCCGGUGAAGUGUUAGGAUCGUGGCGACGUGGGCGUUCGCAUGCCCGGCGAGGCGUCGCGAGCAUUCCACUGAGACCUUAUCAUUUAGAGGUAAGGAGAAGUUCGUAUAACGAAGGUUCCGUAGGUGAACCUGCGGAAGGAUCAUUGUCGAACCCUGCGCAGCAGAACGACCGUGAAGCAAGUUAACACAUUCUGCGACCUUGCGGGACCACGAAGCAUUUGUUUCGCCUUUGUGAGUUCUUGUCGACGUGCUUCAUGCUGGACAUACCUUUGUGCCAUGGAUGGUAUGUGACAAAAUAACAAACCCCGGGCACGAGACUGUGCCAAGGAAAACCAAAUUAAAGAACACAGUGCUGAUUGCGCCCAGUUGCUUGGUGUGGCGCACUGUUCCGGGCUUACUUCUUUGUAAAUCUUAAAAGACUGUCGGAACGGAUAUCCUCCGGCUCACGCAUCCGUGAAAGACGUAGCAAAUGGAUACUUGUGUGAAAGUGCAGAAUCACGUGAACCAUCCGGUUUUUGAACGCAAGUUAUGCGCCCGAAGUCCAUUCGGUUGAAGGCACGUCUUGCCGUGGCGUCACGCAAUCACGUCGCCCCCCCAGGCAUCCCUAUAGGCUGUCUUGUGUUGGGCGGAGAUGGUCUCCCGUUGCCAAUAGGGUGGUUGGCUAAAUAGGAAGUCCUCCUCGGAGGGACGCUACGGCUAGUGUGGUUGAUACAACGUCCGUCUCGUGUCGUGCGUUUACUAUUCUUGAGAGUAAUAUGCCCUUUAUAAGUAACCUGAUGUGUUGUCUUAUGAACGAUGCUUCGUCGCGACCCCAGGCUCAGGCGGGACUACCCGCUGAUUUUAAGCAUAUCAAUAAGCGGAGGAAAAGAAAACUUACUUAGAUUUCCAAAAUUAGUAACGGGAGCGAACGGGAACAGCCAGCUGAAAUCGGCGGCUUCGUCGUCCGAAUUGUAGUCUG